UGUGGGGAAAGGAAAAUAACUUUUUGUCAUUCUUUUUAAAUUUUGUUUCUCGUACCCUAUUUUUUUGGAAGAAUACCUUUAUAAAGGGAACUUGUGAUAUCAAUUCACCAGUUACAUAAUUGAUCCACUCUUUUUCAAAGUAGUGAUAACUAAUGACGCUAAAUCAGGAUAGAAUAUUUUCAAAUCAAUUGAAGAUAUUCUUGAU
rnacentral:lncRNA from 1 species